UACGGGGGGGGCAAGCGUUGUUCGGAAUUACUGGGCGUAAAGGGCGCGUAGGCGGCUCGCUAAGUCGGAUGUGAAAACUCUGGGCUCAACCCAGAGCCUGCAUUCGAAACUGACGAGUUCGAGUUCUGGAGGGGAAGGCGGAAUUCCUGGUGUAGCGGUGAAAUGCGUAGAUAUGCGGAGGAACACCGAUGGCGAAGGCAAUCCCCUGGGCCUGCACUGACGCUCAUGCACGAAAGCGUGGGGAGCAAACAGG
rnacentral:rRNA from 1 species